CACCAGGGUAUUUAAUCCCACACACAGAGGCUGUUGCAUGCAAACCAUGUUGUGUGUUUUCUGUGUCUCUUCUGAAUUUUCCUCUCUAUUGGCAGGGUGAUAUGGAAGACCUCUUAUCUAAGAUAGGCUUAGACCAACACCCUUAACCCCCCCUCUUAAAAUGAGAACCUCAGAUAUGCUGGUCCCAGCUCCAGGUCUGGAAGGAGUAAUCAGUAAUCACUUUAAAGUAGGGCUGUAGCAAUACAUUAAUCUCACGAUACGAUACACGAUAUUCAGCCAACAAUACGAUUCGAUACGAUUCAAUACUCUGACUGAACAGAGAGUCUACAGCUUGCAAAUGAAUCUGAUGUUUGUCAUAUCACACCUCAAACAGUACUAGUGAAGAGUUUUUGAAUGAAAAUAUUAUUUUUCAAUCCCUUUGCUGACAUACAUAUGCAGUUUUUCAACCAACUAUUUGAAGAACAUUAAAAUAAUGCCCUUUCAAUAAAAGAGGUCUCAUACAUUUAUGCCUCAUUUUUCUCUGGCAUGCCACUUAGCAAAGAGCCUCCAGAAAGUUGAGGGGAACCUGUCAUUCAAUAGCAAUAGUAUUUCUGAAGUUAUUCUGUCACUCUGCUCUGUGUACUCCCUGACUACUACUCUGUCUCUGUUGUCCCUUCUACACAAGACCCCAGAGUCCUUUGAUUGGCUAGAAUACAUCAUAGGUACCGUCCACUGAUUGGUUGAAAAAGAAACUAGUCUGCCUAGUAACGUUUGUCCAUUCCUCGACUGCGUAUGGAGUCUGUCAAACAUCUAUUUUUCCAUUGGUCUUUUACGUGGUGGCAUAGAACUACAAGGAAGAGUCAGACAGACACAAACCACAUAUCUCCGUCUUUAACGGAAUCUCAGGAAAACGAUGCAAAACACCACAUCUCUCCAUCAUAAACCGUUAGAGAGAUAUUCACAGAUAUGUAAAACUUUUUGGGUGGAUCCGCCCAAUCCGUCCCCAGAGGGUUAAACCCGGAGUGGUGGGAGCUCUUCUGCUUUUGAAGCAUGAAGGUGCUGGAUUUAUGUUUGCAGCCAUUCUCUUAAAUCUCCUCACUCUGACUGUGUAAACAGGAAGACGUCGGCGUCUGUGUAAAGAGAGUAUCUAGGCGGGUAACUUGCUAGAAAUGCUCUACAGCGAGACUAGUGGCUGGCUGACCUAAUCGCUCUUCCUGCAAAGCCAACGGGGGGAGAUGGGCAGUGAGCAGAGUGCCAGGCGUAACACAGGGAAUUUGAAUGGGACUUAAUGUAUCGAUACUCGCGGCUGAAAAUCGAUACUUUCUGGGGAAACAAAAUAUUGAUAUAUACUGCAAGAUCGACUUUAAAGUGUAACUUUUUCAACCUGGACCUUAUUUUCUUUUGUUUUUCUGUGAGAGUGACUAAUGGGGCCUCCACAGAAAAAUGAAACGUCUGAAUUAUCAUGUAUGCGUAGAGGAACACCACCAGUCUCCAGACCUUAACAGCUUUGCAGCAGCUGGUUCACGUCCUCUGUCUGCUGCCCCCCCUCUCUAUCUGUCUCCCUCCUCAUCCCCUCUUUAGUUUGUAGUCCAUAUACUCUGGCUCAAAUAAAUUUGGGCGGCAAUUUGGUUAGAUACACACAGCAGAUACAUAAAAUGUGUCAUUUCAUAGUUUUACAGCUCUCAUUCAGGACUGGACCAGAUUCAAAUGUUGUUCUCUCCAUUACUUAUCUAAGUUACUGAGUCACCCAAAAAUACCAGCGUUAGAUGAGAGGGGUUUGAGGGAAAAGUUGAAGUGUACUUUCUCACCAAAACCAAAAGACCAUUCGCUGCUUGAAGUAGGCGUGAUUGUAAGAAAGAUACAAAAUUUGGUACAUUUGCCCCCCACCUCCACCCCUGCAGAACAGGGUUUAGUUUUUGUUUAAAGCACACUGACACAUAUAUCCAUUCCCACACAUGUACUGACACAUUCUGUAAUUAAGAUAAAUAAAACUAAAAUAUGCUCAAUUUCAUGUGCAGCCACAAUCAAAGUCAUGUUAAAAAUAGAUCAAAAUAACACCAUCAGUUGGAUGUUAUUUUAGUAUAGAGUGGUGUUAUUUUAACAAACAUUUUAACAGGAUGCACUGCAUGUGAAACCUGCUUCAGCCUCAGACUGGUCAGGAAGCACAGGGCACGCUCUAACCUCCACAUCAUCAACAAAACUCAACACUGCCUGGUUCUCAAAAAGCUGUGGCACUUACUUUCUGUCCCGACCUCACUCCAGUAAUGAGCAUACCCACACACAAAAGAACGCACACAACACACACACACACACUACACUGAAGUCUUCCAAUGAGUCCCGUUACCUGACUUAUCUAAGUGUUUCUCCGCUAUCCUCUAACAGUGUUUACAUUUAGCUUAGUUUUGUUCUUUAUUGUGUCGACUGUGUAUGUGUGCAGAAAGCUUUUCAUGGACCACGUUGGCCUCACUCUUGCUGUCCCCGUUAUGUCAUGUAGUGUUUAAUGAUACUUUACUCCACACUUAAAA